rnacentral:Y_RNA from 1 species
GGCUGGUUUCAGUGCAGUGGUGUUUACAACUAAUUGAUCACAACCACUAUAGAUUUCUUUAUUCCUUUUCCACUCCCACUGGUUCACUUAGCUAGCCUUUC